GAUGAACGCUGGCGGCGUGCCUAAUACAUGCAAGUCGAGCGAACAGAUGAGGAGCUUGCUCCUCUGACGUUAGCGGCGGACGGGUGAGUAACACGUGGAUAACCUACCUAUAAGACUGGGAUAACUUCGGGAAACCGGAGCUAAUACCGGAUAAUAUAUUGAACCGCAUGGUUCAAUAGUGAAAGACGGUUUUGCUGUCACUUAUAGAUGGAUCCGCGCCGCAUUAGCUAGUUGGUAAGGUAACGGCUUACCAAGGCAACGAUGCGUAGCCGACCUGAGAGGGUGAUUGGCCAAACUGGAACUGAGAAACGGUCCAGACCCCUACGGGAGGCAGCAGUAGGGAAUCUUCCGCAAUGGGCGAAAGCCUGACGGAGCAAAGCCGCGUGAGGGAUGAAGGUCUUCGGAUCGGAAAACUCUGUUAUUAGGGAAGAACAAAUGUGUAAGUAACUAUGCCCGUCUUGACGGUACCUAAUCAGAAAGCCACGGCUAACUACGUG
rnacentral:rRNA from 1 species